AUUGAACGCUGGCGGCAGGCCUAACACAUGCAAGUCGAACGGUAACAGGAAGAAGCUUGCUUCUUUGCUGACGAGUGGCGGACGGGUGAGUAAUGUCUGGGAAACUGCCUGAUGGAGGGGGAUAACUACUGGAAACGGUAGCUAAUACCGCAUAACGUCGCAAGCCCAAAGAGGGGGACCUUCGGGCCUCUUGCCAUCGGAUGUGCCCAGACGGGAUUAGCUAGUAGGUGGGGUAACGGCUCACCUAGGCGACGAUCCCUAGCUGGUCUGAGAGGUUGACCGGCCACACUGGAACUGAGACACGGUCCAGACUCCUACGGGAGGCAGCAGUGGGGAAUAUUGCACAAUGGGCGCAAGCCUGAUGCAGCCACGCCGCGUGUGUGAAGAAGGCCUUCGGGUUGUAAAGUACUUUCAGCGGGGAGGAAGGGAGUAAAGUUAAUACCUUUGCUCAUUGACGUUACCCGAAGAAGAAGCACCGGCUAACUCCGUG
rnacentral:rRNA from 1 species